AUACGGAGGGUGCAAGCGUUAUUCGGAAUCAUUGGGUUUAAAGGGUCCGUAGGCGGACUAAUAAGUCAGGGGUGAAAUCCCACAGCUUAACUGUGGAACUGCCUUUGAUACUGUUAGUCUUGAGUUAUAUGGAAGUAGAUAGAAUGUGUAGUGUAGCGGUGAAAUGCUUAGAGAUUACACAGAAUACCGAUUGCGAAGGCAGUCUACUACAUAUAUACUGACGCUAAUGGACGAAAGCGUGGGGAGCGAACAGGAUUAGAUACCCUAGUAGUCC
rnacentral:rRNA from 1 species